rnacentral:rRNA from 1 species
GACGAACGCUGGCGGCGUGCUUAACACAUGCAAGUCGAACGGAAAGGCCCUGCUUGCAGGGUACUCGAGUGGCGAACGGGUGAGUAACACGUGGGUGAUCUGCCCUGCACUUCGGGAUAAGCCUGGGAAACUGGGUCUAAUACCGGAUAGGAGCCAUUUUUAGUGUGAUGGUUGGAAAGUUUUUUCGGUGUAGGAUGAGCUCGCGGCCUAUCAGCUUGUUGGUGGGGUAAUGGCCUACCAAGGCGGCGACGGGUAGCCGGCCUGAGAGGGUGGACGGCCACAUUGGGACUGAGAGACGGCCCAGACUCCUACGGGAGGCAGCAGGGGGGAAUAUUGCACAAGGGGCGCAAGCCUGAUGCAGCGACGCCGCGGGGGGGAUGACGGCCUUCGGGUUGUAAACUCCUUUCGCUAGGGACGAAGCUUUUUGUGACGGUACCUAGAGAAGAAGCACCGGCUAACUACGUG